CGUGAGCGAGCGUGCCGUCGCCGGAGCCCUCUGUCCUUCGCCAAGAUGUUCCUCCUCCGCUUCUACUGGUCUGCCUUCCCCGACCGCCUUGUUCGAGCUCUGGCUUAGUCCCCAAUCGUCGUUAUCAUCUCGUGAAGUUCCGAUAGCGACGGUGGAUAACCGGCUGGAGUAACGACGCGGGCGUGUGGAGGGUCACGGCAUGGUGAAGUCGGCAUGUCAGUCUUUAGUUUCAAUCCGGGAGAUGGAUGCUUAUUCAGAUCCGUCGCCGCCGGUCCUAGUCUCCGGGAGGUAGGGGCUUCCGCAGCUCAGCCAUCGCCGGCUCUGUUUCCGGGGGGUGAAGGCUUCCAUAGUCUUGCGCCGCCGGCUUUAGGUUUCUUGUCGUAAGGUAGGGUUUGUUCCCGUUUGUUGGUCUGUUUGGUUUGUGUUCCUGGUUCUUGGCUCCUGUGGUUCGCGGCUUCACUUUUCUGGAUUAGAUCUCGAUUUAAUCGAUUGAACUAUCCGAUCUUUAGACAAGCGUGAAUGGAGUGAGAUGAUUUGCGGUGUCGCUCUUUUGGGGAGGGUGCCUGGGGACUCGGUACGAGUUCGUUGAGUUGGUUUCUAUGGAGGCUCGGCGGUAUUACGAGCUCCGGUGAAUCGUCGGUUACAGUGUCGCCGUUUUCGAAGCGGCGUCGAUCAAGUUGCGGUGGACAGGGUGAGAUCGCGUUGAUGCGAACACGUGUCCGACCCCUUUCGGUUUUGGGUCGCAAGCAGGCGGUUAGGUUCUAGCUGUUUGGGCCCUAGGCCUUUUGUUUUAUUUUUUGCUUUUUCUGUGGGCUUUAAGCUGUGUAUUUGGUG
rnacentral:lncRNA from 1 species